rnacentral:rRNA from 1 species
UACAGAGGGGGCAAGCGUUAUUCGGAAUUAUUGGGCGUAAAGGGCGCGUAGGCGGCUUUGCAAGUGGCGGGUGAAAUCCCUCGGCUUAACCGAGGAACUGCCUGCCAGACUGUGAGGCUUGAGACCGGGAGAGGUGAGUGGAAUUCCCAGUGUAGCGGUGAAAUGCGUAGAUAUUGGGAGGAACACCAGUGGCGAAGGCGG